UCUCCUCCCUCCCCUUCCGCAGGGUCCGGCGGUGGCGGCCAGCAAGCGGAGGAGCGCAGCGCUGGAGCUGCAGGGCAUCCUGAGCACCAUGAGGAGGGCGAGCAGGAGGUCGAGCGGGCGGCAGAGCAGCCUGAAGAGCAGGGACAGGCAGCUGGAGGCCAUCCUGCAGCGGCGGCGCCGGGCUGUGGAUGCCUCCCUGCCCACAGCGCCGCAGGACCGCGAGGAUGCGGGGAGGCCGGAUCCCGGAGACAAGGACAUCGGCACGGCUCCAUCCAGGCACUCGCCGGGGUGCGGGGCCGGGGUGCCGUUCAGACCCCGGGCAGUGGGGGGCCUCCCCAGGACCCGGCCCCUCACCCACCUGGCCGGAGGCAGGGGGGAGCUGGGGUAGAGGCAGCUGCCGUGGCGGGGCGAGGAGGGGACCCGGCGGUGGGGACGGCUGCGGCAAGCUUUCACCCUCAUUUUCCAGCACGUUGCAUCCACUUGUGCCUUAAUUAAAGCGAGGUGGCACCGGG